UACGUAGGGGGCAAGCGUUGUUCGGAAUGACUGGGCGUAAGGGGUGUGUAGGCGGUUUAUUAAGUUGGAUGUGCAAGCCUGGGGCUUAACCCCAGAACUGCAUCCAAAACUGGUAGACUUGAGUGUGGGAGAGGCAAGUGGAAUUCCUAGUGUAGCGGUGGAAUGCGUAGAUAUUAGGAGGAACAUCAGAGGCGAAGGCGACUUGCUGGAACAUAACUGACGCUGAGGCACGAAAGCGUGGGGAGCAAAC
rnacentral:rRNA from 1 species